AGAGUUUGAUCCUGGCUCAGGACGAACGCUGGCGGCGCGCUUAACACAUGCAAGUCGAACGGGGUCAUAGCGAUAUGACCUAGUGGCAAACGGGUGAGUAACACGUGGACAACCAACCUUCCGGGUGGGGACAACAUCGCGAAAGCGGUGCUAAUACCGAAUGAACUUCCGCCAUCGCAUGACGGAGGAAGGAAAGGCAGCAAUGUCGCCGGGAGACGGGUCUGCGUCUGAUUAGCUAGUUGGCGGGGCAAGGGCCCACCAAGGCGACGAUCAGUAGCCGGUCUGAGAGGAUGAACGGCCACAUUGGGACUGAGACACGGCCCAGACUCCUACGGGAGGCAGCAGUGGGGAAUCUUCCGCAAUGGGCGCAAGCCUGACGGAGCGACGCCGCGUGAGUGAAGAAGGCCUUCGGGUCGUAAAGCUCUGUUGAUGGGGACUAUUAUGAAGGUACCCGUCGAGGAAGCCGCGACCAACUACGUGCCAGCAGUCGCGGUAAUACGUAGGCGGCGAGCGUUGUCCGGAAUGAUUGGGCGUAAAGGGAGCGCAGGCGGGCGUUCAAGUUUCGCUUAAAAGCGUGGGGCUCAGCCCCAUGAGGGGCGGAAAACUGGAGGUCUUGAGUGCAGGAGAGGAGAGCGGAAUUCCCAGUGUAGCGGUGAAAUGCGUAGAUAUUGGGAAGAACACCAGUGGCGAAGGCGGCUCUCUGGACUGCAACUGACGCUGAGGCUCGAAAGCCGGGGGAGCGAACGGGAUUAGAUACCCCGGUAGUCCCGGCUGUAAACGAUGGAUGCUAGGGGUGGGGGGGGUAUCGGACCCCCUCCGUGCCCGGAGCGAACGCAAUAAGCAUCCCGCCUGGGGAGUACGGCCGCAAGGCAGAAACUCAAAGGAAUUGACGGGGGCCCGCACAAGCGGUGGAGUAUGUGGUUUAAUUCGACGCAACGCGAAGAACCUUACCAGGAUUUGACAUCCAACUAACGAAGUAGAGAUACAUUAGGUGCCCUUCGGGGAAAGUUGAGACAGGUGGUGCAUGGUUGUCGUCAGCUAGUGUCGUGAGAUGUUGGGUUAAGUCCCGCAACGAGCGCAACCCCUAUUGUUAGUUGCUACGCAAGAGCACUCUAGCGAGACUGCCGUUGACAAAACGGAGGAAGGCGGGGACGACGUCAAAUCAUCAUGCCCCUUAUGUCCUGGGCUACACACGUAAUACAAUGGUGGUUAACAGAGGGAAGCGAUACCGCGAGGUGGAGCAAACCCCCAAAAGCCAUCUCAGUUCGGAUUGCAGGCUGCAACUCGCCUGCAUGAAGCUGGAAUUGCUAGUAAUCGCGGAUCAGCAUGCCGCGGUGAAUACGUUCCCGGGCCUUGCACACACCGCCCGUCA
rnacentral:rRNA from 1 species